GAUGAACGCUAGCUACAGGUCUUAACACAUGCAAGUCGAGGGGCAGCAUUUCAGUUUGCUUGCAAACUGGAGAUGGCGACCGGCGCGCGGGUGAGUAACACGUAUCCAACCUGCCGAUAACUCGGGGAUAGCCUUUCGAAAGAAAGAUUAAUACCCGAUGGUAUAAUUAGACCGCAUGGUCUUGUUAUUAAAGAAUUUCGGUUAUCGAUGGGGAUGCGUUCCAUUAGGCAGUUGGUGAGGUAACGGCUCACCAAACCUUCGAUGGAUAGGGGUUCUGAGAGGAAGGUCCCCCACAUUGGAACUGAGACACGGUCCAAACUCCUACGGGAGGCAGCAGUGAGGAAUAUUGGUCAAUGGGCGCAGGCCUGAACCAGCCAAGUAGCGUGAAGGAUGACUGCCCUAUGGGUUGUAAACUUCUUUUAUAUGGGAAUAAAGUUUUCCACGUGUGGAAUUUUGUAUGUACCAUAUGAAUAAGGAUCGGCUAACUCCGUGCCAGCAGCCGCGGUAAUACGGAGGAUCCGAGCGUUAUCCGGAUUUAUUGGGUUUAAAGGGAGCGUAGGUGGACAGUUAAGUCAGUUGUGAAAGUUUGCGGCUCAACCGUAAAAUUGCAGUUGAUACUGGCUGUCUUGAGUACAGUAGAGGUGGGCGGAAUUCGUGGUGUAGCGGUGAAAUGCUUAGAUAUCACGAAGAACUCCGAUUGCGAUGGCAGCUCACUGGACUGCAACUGACACUGAUGCUCGAAAGUGUGGGUAUCAAACAGG
rnacentral:rRNA from 1 species